rnacentral:sRNA from 1 species
UCUCCGUUGGUGAACCAGCGGAGGGAUCAUUACAGAGUUAUCUAAACUCCAAACCCUGUGAACUAUACUUGUUUUGUUGCCUCGGCAGGUCGCGACCUACCCUGUAGUGCCUACCCUGUAGCAGCCUACCCGGUGUCGCGCUCCAGGCCUGCCGGCGGACCAACCUAACUCUUGACUACUGUGUCUCUGAAUAUCAUAACUAAAUACGUUAAAACUUUCAACAACGGAUCUCUUGGUUCUGGCAUCGAUGAAGAACGCAGCGAAAUGCGAUAAGUAAUGUGAAUUGCAGAAUUCAGUGAAUCAUCGAAUCUUUGAACGCACAUUGCGCCCAUUAGUAUUCUAGUGGGCAUGCCUGUUCGAGCGUCAUUUCAACCCUUAAGCCCUGUUGCUUAGUGUUGGGAGCCUGCUUUACCGCAGCUCCUUAAAGUUAGUGGCGGAGUUAGGUCGCACUCUGAGCGUAGUACAUUUUCUCGCUUUUGCAGUCGUCGUACCCCCAGCCAUAAAACCCCCUAUUUUUAAUGGUUGACCUCGGAUCAGGUAGGAAUACCCGCUGAACUUAA